GGCCUGUUGUCGUGGCCGAGUGGUUAAGGCGAUGGACUAGAAAUCCAUUAGGAUCUUCCUGCGCAGGUUCGAAUCCUGACUUCCGGCGCCG